rnacentral:rRNA from 1 species
CACGUAGGGUGCGAGCGUUGUCCGGAAUUAUUGGGCGUAAAGAGCUCGUAGGCGGUGUGUCGCGUCGGCCGUGAAAACCUGCGGCUUAACUGUGGGCUUGCGGUCGAUACGGGCAUCACUGGAGUUCGGCAGGGGAGACUGGAAUUCCUGGUGUAGCGGUGAAAUGCGCAGAUAUCAGGAGGAACACCGGUGGCGAAAGCGACUCUCUGGACGGCAACUGACGCUGAGGCACGAAAGCGUGGGGAGCAAACAGG